UUCGGGGCGAAGAUAAAAUGGAUUAGCGGCGGACGGGUGAGUAACACGUGAGUAACCUGCCUUAGACAUUGGGAUAGCCUCGGGAAACCGGGAUUAAUACCGAAUAACAUCACAUAGACACAUGUCAUUGUGAUCAAAACUCCGGUGGUCUAAGAUGGACUCGCGUCCCAUUAGCUAGUUGGUGAGGUAACGGCCCACCAAGGCGACGAUGGGUAGCCGGCCUGAGAGGGUGAACGGCCACAUUGGAACUGAGAAACGGUCCAAACUCCUACGGGAGGCAGCAGUGGGGAAUAUUGCACAAUGGGGGAAACCCUGAUGCAGCGACGCCGCGUGAACGAAGAAGGCUUUCGAGUCGUAAAGUUCUUUUAUAUGGGAAGAUAAUGACGGUACCAUAAGAAAAAGCCCCGGCUAACUACGUGCCAGCAGCCGCGGUAAUACGUAGGGGGCUAGCGUUGUCCGGAAUCACUGGGCGUAAAGGGUUCGCAGGCGGAAAUGCAAGUCAGAUGUAAAAGGCAGUAGCUUAACUACUGUAAGCAUUUGAAACUGCAUAUCUUGAGAAGAGUAGAGGUAAGUGGAAUUUUUAGUGUAGCGGUGAAAUGCGUAGAUAUUAAAAAGAAUACCGGUGGCGAAGGCGACUUACUGGGCUCAUUCUGACGCUGAGGAACGAAAGCGUGGGUAGCAAACAGGAUUAGAUACCCUGGUAGUCCACGCUGUAAACGAUGAGUGCUAGGUGUCGGCGUAAGUCGGUGCCGCAGUUAACACAAUAAGCACUCCGCCCGGGGAGUACGUGCGCAAGCAUGAAACUCAAAGGAAUUGACGGGGACCCGCACAAGCAGCGGAGCAGGUGGUUUAAUUCGAAGCAACGCGAAGAACCUUACCAAGGCUUGACAUACUGAGGAAAGACUUAGAGAUAAGUCCCUCUCUUCGGAGACCUCAAUACAGGUGGUGCAUGGUUGUCGUCAGCUCGUGUCGUGAGAUGUUGGGUUAAGUCCCGCAACGAGCGCAACCCUUAUCUUUAGUUGCCAGCAUUUCGGAUGGGAACUCUAAGAGACUGCCGAUGAUAAUCGGAGGAAGGUGGGGAUGACGUCAAAUCAUCAGGCCCAUAUGCCCUGGGCUACCACCUGCUACAUGGAAGUGCAAGGGGAGCCAAUAUUGUUUUAGCAAACUUCAAAAGCCUUUUCAUUCGGAUGUACCCUCACCCGGGUCCUG
rnacentral:rRNA from 1 species